AAGUGCUUAUUUUAAAUAAAAUGUUUGAUUUCGACUCAAAAGACUAUGGUUAAACUCCAUAAGCACCUA
rnacentral:tRNA from 1 species